rnacentral:tRNA from 1 species
AAAAUCUUAUGUUAAUUAAACAAAUAGCCUUCAAAGCUAUUAAUAAAAGAAUAAUCUUUUAGGUUUUA